ACCUCCAAUGAUCAUUUAAACUGUUGGACUCAUUAUUAUCUAACUUAAUGAGAGGCUAUGAUCUAAUUAUCACUAUAACUAUUUUAUUUUUAGAGACCUAACAAUUUUAGAAGAUUUAAUUAGUUGAAUUGAGAGAUGAGAAAAGAUUUGACUAGUUAAUCUUAAUCCUCCCAUUGACUUCACCAAGUCAGAUUAAAGAAGACUAGAUAUAAGCUGAUCCAACCAACCAAUCAUAGAUCCUCCUACUGACUUCACCA
rnacentral:lncRNA from 1 species